UACGUAGGGGGCAAGCGUUAUCCAGAUUUACUGGGCGUAAAGCGCGUGUAGGCGGCUGGUUAGGUGUGAUGUGAAAUCUUCGGGCUCAACCCGAAAACUGCAUUGCAAACCGGCCCUGGCUAGAGUGCAGGAGAGGGAAGCGGAAUCCAGGUGUAGGCGGUGAAAUGCGUAGAUAUCUGGAGGAACACCAGUAGCGAAGGCGGCUUCCUGGCCUGCAACUGACGCUGAGACGCGAAAGCGUGGGAGCGAACCGG
rnacentral:rRNA from 1 species